AGUGGCGAACGGGUGAGGAACACGUAAGAAUCUGCCCCUCGGUCGGGGACAACUCUUGGAAACGAGAGCUAAUACCCGAUACGCUGUGGAGUGAAAGAAUUUCGCCGAGGGAUGAUCUUGCGUCUGAUUAGCUAGUUGGUACGGUAAUGGCGUACCAAGGCGACGAUCAGUAGCUGGUCUGAGAGGAUGGACAGCCACAUUGGAACUGGGACACGGUCCAAACUCCUACGGGAGGCAGCAGUGGGGAAUUUUCCGCAAUGGACGAAAGUCUGACGGAGCGACGCUGCGUGAAGGAUGACGGCCCGCGGGUUGUAAACUUCUUUUCUCGAAGAAGAAGCUCUGACGGUAUUCGAGGAAUAAGCAUCGGCUAACUCCGUGCCAGCAGCCGCGGUAAGACGGAGGAUGCAAGUGUUAUUCGGAAUGAUUGGGCGUAAAGAGUCUGUAGGCUGUAUAGAAAGUCUUUUGUUAAAUGCCUCGGCUCAACCGAGAUCAAGCAAAGGAAACUUCUAUACUUGAGGGAAGUAGAGGUACAGGGAAUUCCCGGUGGAGCGGUGAAAUGCGUAGAUAUCGGGAGGAACACCAAUAUGGCGAAGGCACUGUACUGGGCUUUUCCUGACGCUGAGAGACGAAAGCUAAAGGAGUGAUUAGGAUUAGAUACCCUAGUAAUUUUAGCCGUAAACGAUGAAACUCACUGCCGAGCGAAAUACAACGAGCGGUGGUCAAGCUAACGCGUGAAGUUUCCCGCCUGGGGAUUAC
rnacentral:rRNA from 1 species